UUGAUUAUUUAAUAUUUACUCAGACUUCACUAAUAAAUAGAAUUUGGAUAAACCUCUGGCGGGCGCGAGCCGCCCCCCAGCUGGGGGCCGGCAUGAGCCGUAUAGCCUACUCAAGGCCCACCAAAGCAACAAAGGUAAGGUAAACAUGGGGUUGAGAUGCACGAUGAGCGCUGGCCGAGCCCGGAGGACUCGGACAGACACCCACCGCUGGGGGCUAGGCCCCCGAACUCAUUAAUGAUCCUUCCGCAGGUUCACCUACGGAAA
rnacentral:misc_RNA from 1 species